CCUACGGGAGGCUGCAGUGGGGAAUAUUGCACAAUGGGGGAAACCCUGAUGCAGCGACGCCGCGUGAGUGAAGAAGUAAUUCGUUACGUAAAGCUCUAUCAGCAGGGAAGAAAAAGACGGUACCUGAGUAAGAAGCCCCGGCAAACUACGUGCCAGCAGCCGCGGUAAUACGUAGGGGGCAAGCGUUUUCCGGAUUUACUGGGUGAAAAGGGAGCGGAGACGGUGCGCAAAGUCUGGAGUGAAAUGCCGCAGCUUAACUGCGGAACUGCUUUGGAAACUGGCGAACUAGGGUGCGGGAGGGGUGAGCGGAAUUCCUAGUGUGGCGGUGAAAGGCGUGGAUAUUAGGAGGAACACCGGUGGCGAGGGCGGCUUACUGGACCGUAACUGACGUUGGGGCUCGAAAGCGUGGGGAGCAAACAGGAUUAGAUACCCCGUAGUC
rnacentral:rRNA from 1 species